rnacentral:rRNA from 1 species
UACGAGGGGGGCAAAUGUUGUUCGGAAUCACUGGGAGUAAAGGGAGCGUAGGCGGGUUCUUAAGUUAGGUGUUUAAUCCCGGGGCCCAACCCCGGACCGGCACUUAAAACUGGGAAUCUUGAAUAGUGGAGAGGUCAGUGGAAUUGGGGGUGUAGCGGUGGAAUGCGUAGAGAUCCCCAAGAACACCAGUUGCGAAGGCGGCUGACUGGACACAUAUUGACGCUGAGGCUCGAAAGCAUGGGGAGCAAACAGG